GAUGAAGAACGUAGCGAAAUGCGAUAAGUAAUGUGAAAUGCAGAAUUCAGUGAAUCAUCGAAUCUUUGAACGCACAUUGCGCCCCCUGGUAUUCCGGGGGGCACGCCUGUUCGAGCGUCAUUUCAACCCUCAAGCCCCCGGCUUGACGUUGGGCGCGGCCCCUCCCUCGGGGGGGGCCCGCCUGAAACCCCUCGGCGUCGCCGUCCGUCCCAGAGCGCAGCGAGUUUUCUGCCCGCGCUACUGGACCGGGCCGCUGGCCGCCGGUGAAUCCAUUUUCUCAAGGUUGACCUCGGAUCAGGUGGGGAUACCCGCUGAACUUAAGCAUAUCAAUAAGCGGAGGA
rnacentral:misc_RNA from 1 species